CUCGGAUAUGAGUGUUUUACACACAAUAAAAGCUUAGUAUACAGGCUGAAUUUGUAUUCUCCAAUGGCAUUCACUUUGUCAAGCAGGUGCAGAGUGUGAUUUCUGACCUUCAGCACCUUCCUCACUGACUACAAUUUGUGAACGAGUGGCUGCUGGGCUGAAGAAGGGGUCUUCUGUGCAAACUACAGCAUGCAGGUUUUAUGAAUUCAGAAGAACUUCUGACCUACUCCUCAAAAUAGUUCACAGGUGCUUGUGAAUGCUGACAGGCAGAACUCUCAGGAAUAUGGCUUAAUCCCUUUAUGUAUGGAGCUGUACCUUACCAUGCUUGCAAAAUACAACAACAACAAAAAAGGAUGAGGAACCUGCACUUGUAGAGCUUGUACAGUGUGUCAGUACACGUGAUUUAACAUAUAGGAUAAGCUAAUGCAGAAGUAAUAAAACCUAGGACAUUGCUAAAGUGCUCUCUCCUUUGGUUUCUCCUUGUAAUGAAUAAAAGUCCUAGGGAUUAAUGGCCAAACACAUGCAAAGUCUGCAAGAAAAAAUAUCCGGAACGUCCAAGAUGUAAAGUUUUGUUUCAAUUUUGAUGACAUAUUUCUUGUAUUUACUUUCUUUUUCCUUUGUCAUUCAUUUUCUUUUCAGUUCUUCUUUGCCUAACUCAUCUAGCAUUCAUUCUCUUUGUCCUUGCUUUCUGCAAAUUAGUCAUCUUUUUAUGAAACUUAAUCUGGUUCUUUAAGAUGACAGAAGAUUGUUUUACAAAAGCUGCAUUUUUUUAACAUUAUUUGUAUUUUUUUUUUAAACUUUAUAAGCUGAAUAAACAUGUCUCUUCAGAAACACAGAAGGUUUACAUACAGAAUUAGAAAACUUGCAUUUUAUUUUUUUUCAUGCUUAUUUAUACAAGAUGAUUUAGAAACAGGUUUGAUGUUCAUGCUACUACUUAGCCAUGCUAAAUUUUCUUGCUGGCCUUGUAUUUUGUUUAGGCUUUCAUGAUGAGAAACAAUACAUUCUUGCUGGUAUCUAUUUUUCAGAAAAUCAGAAAUCUUCAGUAGUACAUCAUUCCACAGAAAUGGAAGAACUGAUCUUCAAGUUGCCUACAUCUUUUAGCAAUUCUUCUAAAGUAAGAGAACAUCUAUUAAUAAACAGAU